rnacentral:rRNA from 1 species
CGGACGGGUGAGUAACGCGUGAGUAACCUGCCUUACACAAGGGGAUAGCCGUUGGGAACUACGAAUAAUACCCUAUGAAACUAUCACUUCGCAUGAAGCGAUAGUCAAAGUGUUAGCGGUGUAAGAUGGACUUGCGUCUGAUUAGCUAGUUGGUGAGAAAAAAGCCCACCAAGGCAACGAUCAGUAGCCGGCUUGAGAGAGUGUACGGCCACAUUGGGACUGAGACACGGCCCAG